rnacentral:rRNA from 1 species
GACGAACGCUGGCGGCGUGCCUAAUACAUGCAAGUAGAACGCACAGUUUAUACCGUAGCUUGCUACACCAUAGACUGUGAGUUGCGAACGGGUGAGUAACGCGUAGGUAACCUGCCUGGUAGCGGGGGAUAACUAUUGGAAACGAUAGCUAAUACCGCAUAAUAUUAAUUAUUGCAUGAUAAUUGAUUGAAAGAUGCAACUGCAUCACUACCAGAUGGACCUGCGUUGUAUUAGCUAGUAGGUGAGGUAACGGCUCACCUAGGCGACGAUACAUAGCCGACCUGAGAGGGUGAUCGGCCACACUGGGACUGAGACACGGCCCAGACUCCUACGGGAGGCAGCAGUAGGGAAUCUUCGGCAAUGGACGAAAGUCUGACCGAGCAACGCCGCGUGAGUAAAGAAGGUUUUCGGAUCGUAAAGCUCGGUUGUAAGAGAAGAACGGGUGUGAGAGUGGAAAGUUCACACUGUGACGGUAUCUUACCAGAAAGGGACGGCUAACUACGUG